rnacentral:rRNA from 1 species
AUGCAUGUCUAAGUUCACACUGUCUCACGGUGAAACCGCGAAUGGCUCAUUAAAUCAGUCGAGGUUCCUUAGAUGACACGAUCCUACUUGGAUAACUGUGGCAAUUCUAGAGCUAAUACAUGCUUAUCAAGCUCCGACCCUCGUGGAAAGAGCGCUUUUAUUAGUUCAAAACCAAUCGCGGCGUCUCUUCGCGGAGGCGUCGCUGAACACUGUUGGUGACUCUGGAUAACUUUGUGCUGAUCGCAUGGCCUUGCGCCGGCGACGCAUCUUUCAAAUGUCUGCCCUAUCAAAUGUCGAUGGUACGUGAUAUGCCUACCAUGUUUGUAACGGGUAACGGGGAAUCAGGGUUCGAUUCCGGAGAGGGAGCAUGAGAAACGGCUACCACA